rnacentral:lncRNA from 1 species
UCAUUAAAAAUAAAGUAGUUCAUUUAAUUAUAAGCAACUAAAAAGUAUCUAUACUACUUAUAAAAGUGUGAGUUUUAAAUUUUUUUCUUUUUUAAAAAAUAUUUUUAUUUUUUAACUAAUAUUUUCAUGUCCAAUAAUUUUCAACCAUUCAUUUCAAAUAAUUCUUCAAAUAAUAAUUUAUUCUCAAAUAUACAUCUUAAGUUUUUGCCAUUGGAUCUAAUCCAACAAGUAAAAAAGUAUCGGUCAUCUUUGUUGACAAAAGUACCCUCAAUAUCUGUUAUCUCUUAUCUACGUGUUUCUCAAAUAUUUUCUUUCUACCUGCCAAUCACAUAUUAUGUAAAAUUAAAUUUAUCUCCUAACGUAAUACCCGCCAAUAACGUAAUAUGUAAAAUUAAAUUUAUCCCCUAUCUACGUGUUUUCUCAAAUAUUUUUUUUCUAGAAUAUUGCUUUUCUAAAACGUAAUAUUUGCCAAUAUUACAUAGUACUCAAAAUUAAAUUUUAAAUUUUAAAUUAAGUAUAAAUUAAAUUAAAUUUACCUCCUAACUAAAUAACCGCCAAUCACGUAAUACGUAAAAUUAAAUUUAUUUCUUUUCUACGCAUUUUCUCAAAUAUUUUUUUCUCAAAUGUAAUACCUGUAAAUGACGUAGUACUCAAAAUUAUAUAUUAAAUUUUGAAUUAAGUAUAAAUUAAAUCUACUAUAUAUACUAUCUGCAUCUUUUCUAGAAUAUUGCUUUUCUAAAAUGUAAUACGUGCCAAUAUUACAUAGUACUCUAAAUUAAAUAUACCAUUUACACAUUUUUCAAAUAUUUCCUUUCUAACAUACCCGCCAAUAAUUUAAUACCCGCCAAUGUGAUAAUUUAAAUUUUAAUUUAUAAUAGUAGAUUUUCAUACGUGAGAUAGUAAAUUUAAUUGCAGUGGGUAUUAAAUUUUGACGUGCCACAAAAAAUUAGAAUAUUGCUAAAAAAAUUUAAUACCCACCCAAUCAAAAUUAAAUUAUUCAUUAAAUAUAAUUUUAAAUUUUUUAAGUAAAAUAUCAAUAUUUAACUAAUAUUCUUCAAAAUAUUCUACGCAUUUCUCAAAUAUAGAACAUAUCUUAAAGCCCUCGCAUAUAAUAUCUACACUACCCAAUCCUAUCUCAGCAUAAUACUUUCCACACAUAGAGUAUAUCAUUUUCCUCAUUUUCAUCUAUACGUUUCUCAAAUGUAAAAUAAUUUUUUUUUUUCAUUUUCACCUAUAUUUUUUUUUUCAAAUCAUUAUUGUCCUCAUCGUCAUCGCAGGCGCCAGCACAUCGUCGCUUUCGCCACCUUCGCCACAGUUGGAGAGGUUUUUUGAUCCUACCUAAAAAUUUUUCUUUUUU